rnacentral:tRNA from 1 species
CGGGAAGUAGCGCAGCCUGGUCAGCGCGCAUGCUUCGGGAGCAUGAGGUCGAGGGUUCAAAUCCCUCCUUCCCGACCA